AGAGUUUGAUCAUGGCUCAGAUUGAACGCUGGCGGCAUGCCUUACACAUGCAAGUCGAACGGCAGCGCGGGGGCAACCCUGGCGGCGAGUGGCGAACGGGUGAGUAAUACAUCGGAACGUGUCCUGGAGUGGGGGGAUAGCCCGGCGAAAGCCGGAUUAAUACCGCAUACGCUCUAUGGAGGAAAGCGGGGGAUCUUCGGACCUCGCGCUCAAGGGGCGGCCGAUGGCAGAUUAGCUAGUUGGUGGGGUAAAGGCCUACCAAGGCGACGAUCUGUAGCUGGUCUGAGAGGACGACCAGCCACACUGGGACUGAGACACGGCCCAGACUCCUACGGGAGGCAGCAGUGGGGAAUUUUGGACAAUGGGGGCAACCCUGAUCCAGCAAUGCCGCGUGUGUGAAGAAGGCCUUCGGGUUGUAAAGCACUUUUGUCCGGAAAGAAAACCGCUUCUCUAAUACAGAGGUGGGAUGACGGUACCGGAAGAAUAAGCACCGGCUAACUACGUGCCAGCAGCCGCGGUAAUACGUAGGGUGCAAGCGUUAAUCGGAAUUACUGGGCGUAAAGCGUGCGCAGGCGGUUCGCUAAGACCGAUGUGAAAUCCCCGGGCUUAACCUGGGAACUGCAUUGGUGACUGGCGGGCUAGAGUAUGGCAGAGGGGGGUAGAACUCCACGUGUAGCAGUGAAAUGCGUAGAGAUGUGGAGGAAUACCGAUGGCGAAGGCAGCCCCCUGGGCCAAUACUGACGCUCAUGCACGAAAGCGUGGGGAGCAAACAGGAUUAGAUACCCUAGUAGUCC
rnacentral:rRNA from 1 species